UACGUAGGGUGCAAGCGUUGUCCGGAAUUAUUGGGCGUAAAGAGCUCGUAGGCGGUCUGUCGCGUCGAAUGUGAAAACCCGGGGCUCAACCCCGGGCCUGCAUUCGAUACGGGCAGACUAGAGUUCGGUAGGGGAGUCUGGAAUUCCUGGUGUAGCGGUGAAAUGCGCAGAUAUCAGGAGGAACACCGGUGGCGAAGGCGGGACUCUGGGUCGAUACUGACGCUGAGGAGCGAAAGCGUGGGGAGCAAACAGG
rnacentral:rRNA from 1 species